rnacentral:rRNA from 1 species
UGGGGAAUAUUGCACAAUGGGGGAAACCCUGAUGCAGCAACGCCGCGUGAAGGAUGAAGGUUUUCGGAUUGUAAACUUCUUUAGUCGGGGACGAAUAAAUGACGGUACCCGAAGAAUAAGCCACGGCUAACUACGUGCCAGCAGCCGCGGUAAUACGUAGGUGGCGAGCGUUGUCCGGAAUUACUGGGUGUAAAGGGCGUGUAGGCGGGAAUGUAAGUCAGAUGUGAAAUCCCAGGGCUUAACCCUGGAGCUGCAUCUGAAACUAUGUUUCUUGAGUGUCGGAGAGGAAAGCGGAAUUCCUAGUGUAGCGGUGAAAUGCGUAGAUAUUAGGAGGAACACCAGUGGCGAAGGCGGCUUUCUGGACGAUAACUGACGCUGAGGCGCGAAAGCGUGGGGAGCAAACA